AUUCCUUCAGGCCUUUUGAAUCUCUUGGGUUUGCAAAGAAAAGGGAUUUGCAUUCAGACCCCUCACAUUAUUCCUAAAUUUAUCCCUCGUUCUUUCCCCUCCCCUGAGAGACAGCCCUGAAAAUCUUAAGGAACUCAAUAGUCAAGACAAGUCCUUGAGCAGAGACCUGAUGAUCAAGAUGAGGAAACAGGCUCAAGGAGGCCAGGCCACAAGCCCAAGCUCACACCCAGAGUGAGAGUUGGAGCUGGUCUUGUUCUGGAAUCACAAGACCUUAGAGGAUGGAAUGGCAUUGGUACCAGUUGACUCAAGUCAGAUGUCCAGUGUCGGAGGCCAGUGGUGCUGGAGAGAAAUGGGUUGAGGGGAGUAUGGCCUCACUGACACUGUCCUCGACCCUGACAAGAGGGGCCCUCCACGUUUGCUCCCCCAGAGAGCAACCCCCAGAGAGUGCAGGAGAAACAGCAGCAGCAGCAGGGUGUUGUCCCCUAUCUUGGCACUCUGCUCAGUGACCUGCUGAUGCUGCACCUGGCGAUGGGUGACUAUUUCGAGGGGAAUGGGAUCAACCUUGAGAAGAGGACUGAGGAGCAGCAGUGGCACUCCCUGCAGGGGAGAAGAAAGAGGUGGAAAUCAGAGACCUUCUGGGCAGAACAGUCCUUGGCUCCACCCGCUGUAUCUUACAUUGAAUGGAAGAGUUUGAUACCAGAGAAGUGGGAGACCCAUCCAAUUGGCGGGUGGGUUGAGGGGAGGAUGGCAUCAAGGAAAUCUUCCUGGAGGAGGGGCUGAUUAUUCCCAUUCUGAGAACUGGUAGAUCCUGGAUGGAACUGGAGGGAAAGAGGGUUUCCAGGACUGGUCCCCGGCCCC